rnacentral:misc_RNA from 1 species
UAAUCUAGCUUAAUAGCAUCUAACAGUCAACCAAAGAGCAAAUCCUUUGCCAUCUGAUAAAAUGGCUGCAAUUAUUUUAAUAACCAUAGGAUGCCUCUUUCAAGCUGUUGUCAAUGUAGGCUAAGUUCAUUAGAUUUUCCACAGCUGUUGUCAAUUCUACGCAACAACAAACUUAUCAUUCAAUAGCAUGUCUAAUUAGACAACCCACAUUAGAAAAUUUUCUAGUAGUGCCAACAAAUUGUAAUAUUUUGAAUUAAAACCUAUGGUUCAUGUGAUGCAAGUCAUUUAUGAUCCAUUAAGGUAAAAUUGUGGUCACGGAAAAGGAUUCCUCAUUUUAAAAAAAUUACUGCUUAUGAGAUGAUAACAUAAAUACCCUUUUAAAACAUUACUUCACAACAGUACAAUAACAAGGCAUCUAAGCACAAAAAGUGUUUGAUGCUGAACUUUCUUGCAGUCCAAGUUAAUCUUAUCUAAAAGAGGCCAAAUUGAACUGCAAAACCCAUUCAGAACAGAAAGAAACAAGUCUUGACUCAAAUCUUGCUUCAACUUUACAGAGUUUGAUUCUAAACCAAUGUUUUAGACUUUUAGCCUCUUUUCAAAAAUGUUAGCAUACAUAAUUUA